CCCGGAGCAGAGCUCGGCACACAGUAGGUGCCCAACUAAUGCCCGUCCCUUCUGGAAGUCUAGACCCGAGGCUUCCGGCGACCCCUGCUCUGAGGACACAGCGUCGCCUGGGCCUCUGCGGUGACGCCUCUGCCCCUGUAGUCCUCCGCCCCUAGUCCAGGCAGCUGAGCCCCUAGCCCCGGGCAGCCUGGCUCGGGGCCUGGGCUAAGGGACAGCAACUAGCUGCCCCCAGGGACAGCUCAGGGCUCCGGAAGGCCGGCUGGCCCGCAUCCCUGUCUGCCCCCAGAGGACGUAUUGGCCACAAGACACCCCACGUGGUGCCAGGGCUACCAGAAGCGGUGACGUGCCGCACGCCCUGUCUCAGUGGUUCAGGCUGUGGAACGAACCCUCAGACUCGCGGAUGAGCAAUGUUUCUCACAGUUCUGCAGGCUGGGAAGUCCAAGAUCAAGGUGCCAGCAGAUUCUGUGUGUGAUGAGUCAGCCUCCUGGUUCAUUCGGGGCCCCCCUCUCCCUGUGUUCUCCGGGCCCCCAGCCACCAGUGCUCCCCGUCUCCACCAAACCACCUCCCAAAAGUCCUGCCCCCAAAUGCCAUCACUUUGGGAGGUGCGAUCCCAGCAUCUGAAUUUGGGAGAACAUGGACAAUCGGCAUUUUUUUGCACCUGGCCCAGGCAGUACGUUAUGUUUCGGCAGAAACAGGACACGUCACGCUGACUGGGCGCAGCACAGCAGGUGGGAGCAGAGGCCUGCAGGUUCCCCGGCAGGAAGAGGGGCCCUCCCUGGCGCAACCCAGACCCGUCCUGCCCGGCUGCCUCCGCCCCCUCAGUUCCAUCGAAAAAAGAAAUAAAGGAACCAAGUUCA